GAUGAACGCUGGCGGCGUGCCUAAUACAUGCAAGUCGAGCGAACAGACGGGGAGCUUGCUCCUCUGACGUUAGCGGCGGACGGGUGAGUAACACGUGGAUAACCUACCUAUAAGACUGGGAUAACUUCGGGAAACCGGAGCUAAUACCGGAUAAUAUAUUGAACCGCAUGGUUCAAUAGUGAAAGACGGUUUUGCUGUCACUUAUAGAUGGAUCCGCGCCGCAUUAGCUAGUUGGUAAGGUAACGGCUUACCAAGGCAACGAUGCGUAGCCGACCUGAGAGAGUGAUCGGCCACACUGGAACUGAGACACGGUCCAGACUCCUACGGGAGGCAGCAGUAGGGAAUCUUCCGCAAUGGGCGAAAGCCUGACGGAGCAACGCCGCGUGAGUGAUGAAGGUCUUCGGAUCGUAAAACUCUGUUAUUAGGGAAGAACAAAUGUGUAAGUAACUAUGCACGUCUUGACGGUACCUAAUCAGAAAGCCACGGCUAACUACGUG
rnacentral:rRNA from 1 species